CUUGACGAGGGUUUCGUCACCCUCGGCGCUUGCUAUAUGCAAUGCAGUUUGUCCAUCGCCCUGGAAGAAUAUUUGCAUUCGAAGAUAUCCCAGGACGUUUCUUUAAAGUCGCCCCGUAAUCCACUAAUAUUCGCACCAUAUCGAUGUCCCGUCUCCUAGCCGCCAGAUGAAGAGCCGAGUCACCUGUAGUGGUAGUGGCACGGAGCUGAUCCGGUGCCUGUUGAGCCAACAAUUCCCUGCACAUCGAUUGAUUUCCAGCUUCCACCGCCAAGAGCAAAGUAUCGGGAGACAUUAGACGGCUUGUCAGAUCGAUUUUCGCGAAGAAAGAAAAACGUAUCCUGUACGAUUUCCAUAAAUAGUCACAUUCGUAUGUAGACGUAAAUAUCGACGUUGGGGAGCAGUUUCUCUUAGAAUCGCAUAAUCUCGCUCGUUUACGAGACAAAGAACGAAGGAACAUUAAGAGGCUGGUAAAUGUGCGUGCGAGAAAGAAGGUGAAAUGGAUGGAAAUGUGCCGAAGGGUGGUAGAAGAAGAAAAAGUAGAAGAAACGAGCUAGAGGAGAAUUAUGACAGCUGUUCGGUACCAGGCCGCGAUAGUCCUGGGCCAUCAUUCGCGUCACGCGAGAAACGUGAACGAGAAUUGGGAGCGAUGCGCGAUAGAAAUCGCGCAAAAACUGUUAAUUCGAUCAAGGAACGCCUGACACAAAGUUGCCACGUUUGAUGCUUACAAGAACGUAGAGCACUUAAGCGGUAAAAGAAUC
rnacentral:lncRNA from 1 species